UCACUACUUGCGUAGGCAGUUGAAUUAGAGUUCCCACCAUUAUGUGCUGGCAACUAAUUCCAGGGGUUGCUCUCGUUGCUGGACUUAACCAAACACCUCACGGCACGAGCUGACGACAGCCACGCAGCACCUGUACAGCCCCCCUUGCGGGUACACAGCUUUCGCUGCUUUAGACUGCUUUUCAAGCCUAGGUAAGGUUCUUCGCGUUGCAUCGAAUUAAACCACAUGCUCCACCGCUUGUGCGGGCCCCCGUCAAUUCCUUUGAGUUUUAAUCUUGCGACCGUACUCCCCAGGCGGGAUGCUUAAUGCGUUAGCUGCGCCACUGACAGGUAAACCUGCCAACGGCUAGCAUCCAUCGUUUACGGCGUGGACUAC
rnacentral:misc_RNA from 1 species